rnacentral:rRNA from 1 species
UACGGAGGGUGCGAGCGUUGUCCGGAAUCAUUGGGCGUAAAGGGUGCGUAGGCGGCGCGGUAAGUCGGAUGUGAAAUCUCGGAGCUUAACUCCGAAACUGCAUUCGAUACUGCCGUGCUUGAGGACUGGAGAGGAGACUGGAAUUUACGGUGUAGCGGUGAAAUGCGUAGAUAUCGUAAGGAAGACCAGUGGCGAAGGCGGGUCUCUGGACAGUUCCUGACGCUGAGGCACGAAGGCCAGGGGAGCAAACGGG